ensembl:lncRNA
GAUUCUUUCCUGCCUGAGGUCUUUCAAAGAGCAAUACUACAAAGAGGGCAAGAGUGCAGCACAAGCCCAGCAGUGAAGUAGCUGGACAUUUUCUGGACAACAGCACCCACAAAACCUUAUUCAGCUACUUUCAAGUUUAUAGUGAUUGUGAGGUAAAGAAGACAACAGGAGAGAUGAAAAACAGCAGUAUUACCACUGCAGCUCUGUGCAUUAAUUGCUGCAGGAGGGUAUGCAAAGGGAGCAAGGCCAGAUAUUCUGGUGCCUAGGAUGAUUACAGUACUGAAGAGGGAUGAAAGAAAUACAUGGUCUGGUUUAGAAAAUGGAGAUGUACAGUUCUCAAUCCCUAACCACUCAAGCUCUGUGUUACAUCUGGGAAGCUUCUGAAACAUUUGUGGAUCAAAGUUUAAAUGGGGGUUUGUGUCAUGAAUUCUUAUGCACUGGAAGGAGAAUAAUCUGUCCAAAAAGACAUCUGAAGAGACAACUGAGG